AGCGAUUUACUUCUUUCUCUUCUGUUUUUGCAGGUUCACACUGUUAAUACUUUGAAAAUCAUGUGCUUCUGACAACACAAAAGGAAAAAAAUGAAGAUGCAUAAGACAAUACUUAUGUUCAUACUGUUGUUUACAGGAUACCUUUGUGAGGACACAGAUUUCAGUGAAGGCACCACACCGUUGUCACAUGAAUCUCUCUUAGCUCCUACCAAAUUCCCACAAGCUCCUGAAUCAGAAACAACAGAACAUGAGAGUGAUGAAGUUCCAGGUUUGGUUCCAGAAGAACGUCUGUCAACUGUAUUAGUGGCAGGAAUCGGCAUUUCCUCUGUGUUCAUUUUGCUUCUUGUGAUUGCUGGUGUUUGGUAUGCAAGGAAAAAAUCAAAAGAAAGCUCAGCAGAAAUUAAUUGUGUCGCCUGUAGCGAACCUGGAGUGUUCUUGAAAAGAAUUUCAAUGCAUGAGAACCAACGCGAGUGGCCUUUUGAAGGAGCAUUACAAUGACAGUGGGGAGCUGUCGCAUGACCCUUUGGUCUGUGCACCUGUGUGGCAGCACUGUGCAUACCAUGGGACUUGGAGUCAGUAUUUUUUCCUUUUUCACUGAGCACUUCAAAUCACUCCAAAAUAAUUUGGAAUGUCAGUUAACAAGAAAAUCCUGUUACCAAAAGAAUCCCAGUCAAUGCUAUUAAGUAAAAUGUUAAAACCAAGCAGUUCUUAAAUGCCUCCUGGUGUGGGAUGCGUUUCCUGUAGCAUAACAAGAGAAAGGUCAAACUGUUGCAGAACCUCAAGCCUUAUAAUCUCUUUCCUCAUCAAUACCGUAACUAAAUUGAUUUCUGAGAACUGUGUGAUACUAGGGACUCUGGGCAACUUAGUCAUUUGUAUUUGUGGCUUUUGCUGUGUAUUUAAUCUGUUAGAUGUUGCAAUGAGGUACAUUUCCAUCCUACUCUUAUUUCAUUUUCUUGCAUCCUUUUCUAGCAUCCUUUUUAGAAGGAAAGUCCUCUCAAAAGAGAUGUAAUCUUCAAAAAAAGUUAAUUUCCCGAAAUUGUAGGGAACCUAGUUGCAGCAAAUAGCAUGCUAGGGCUAUGUCUGUUCUAAUAAAUUAACCCUGCACGGGAACA
rnacentral:lncRNA from 14 species